rnacentral:misc_RNA from 1 species
CUUUUUUUUUUCCCCCUUUUUUUUCUGUGAUUCUUUGCUUACAUCAGAUGUUAAUUGAUAUUGGUAACUAUGUGUGGUCUGUAGGAGUAUAGUACUUUGACUGUUCAUAUACAUGUCGACGAUAGGUUCAAACUUUGAUCUUUACCGUGUAAUUCAAAGCGUUUGUGAAAUUUUAGAGCCAAAGUUCGGAUAUCUUUAAGCUGUUAGGAUUUUGCUAAUCCUUCUACCCCUAAAAUAGAUGUCAGAGUGGCCUUUUCUGGAUGUGGUGACUUUUUAUGGAUGUUAAUUAUGUUCUUGUAAUUAAUUAAUUCAACUUACACUUCAUGUUAACAACUCAAAUUAUGUAUGGAGGAACGUGUGUUUUAUAUUGUGUACAUGUUUCUACUUUGCUAGCUCGGAAGCACUAUAACUAUCUCUUUUUGUUGGUUUAAUAGUUUUAGAUGCCAUGACCCCUUUUGUCCUAUUUGUUCUUUUAUGCCUAUUUUUGCAGGAAAAAGGAUCGAAUGAGAUUGUG